UGCGGGGGAGAGGCGUUAGCGGAUGGAAGCAACAGUACUUUGAUACCGCCGCGGGUAGAUGCGUGGGGGCUCGUAUGUGACAUCGCACGUAGUGAAUGUGCAGGCUAGUGGUGCCCUGGAGAGACUACAGCGAUACCACUACUUUGGAUGGCGAGCCAGGCCGACGAGCCAGAACCCCAGCUACAACUUCCUGCGGUCUGGUAGGAGGCUGCUGCGGCCUAUACUCUCCCCCCUGGUUUUCAGUCCCCAAGUCUCACUUCCGAGAUCUUAGCCUUGGAAUCUCAGUUCUGAGUAUCAUACUUCCAAUUUCGAACUGUUACAGACUGUCAUACGCGUUGGACUUAUAUCAAUCAUGAAAUAGCAACUUUAUGGACAUUGUCUGCCGGGGGUUGGAGGAGGGUGCUGCACUACUGUGCUGCUGAUAUUUUAUAAGCUUGAAUUAUGUUUUAUCUUUUUCCUGUCUGCAGAUUUUGUAAAUAUUGGUAUUUGGUAAUUGCACUUUAUUUUCACUGUAAAUAACAACCGUAAUCACAAUACCUGUGGUUGUAUGUUUAUUAUACUUCACUCACCUCCCAGAGCCGAAUCUGACAUCUUCUGAAUUAGCAUAACCAACUUAAUUUAUCUUAGCUUAU